rnacentral:rRNA from 1 species
CAAUAGCGUAUAUUAAAGUUGUUGCGGUUAAAAAGCUCGUAGUUGGAUUUCUGCCGAGGACGACCGGUCCGCCUCCUGGGUGAGUAUCUGGCUCGGCCUUGGCAUCUUCUUGGAGAACGUAACUGCACUUGACUGUGUGGUGCGGUAACCAGGACUUUUACUUUGAGGAAAUUAGAGUGUUUCAAGCAGGCGUGCGCCUUGAAUACAUUAGCAUGGAAUAAUAAGAUAGGACCUUAGUUCUAUUUUGUUGGUUUCUAGGGCUAAGAUAAUGAUUAAUAGGGAUAAUGGGGGGCAUCUGUAUCAACGCGUCAGAGGUGGAAUUCUUGGAUUGCGUUGCGACAAACUACUGUGAAAGCAUUUGCCAAGGAUGUUUUCAUUGA